UGGGGAAUAUUGGACAAUGGGCGAAAGCCUGAUCCAGCCAUGCCGCGUGUGUGAAGAAGGUCUUCGGAUUGUAAAGCACUUUAAGUUGGGAGGAAGGGCAGUAAGCUAAUACCUUGCUGUUUUGACGUUACCGACAGAAUAAGCACCGGCUAACUCUGUGCCAGCAGCCGCGGUAAUACAGAGGGUGCAAGCGUUAAUCGGAAUUACUGGGCGUAAAGCGCGCGUAGGUGGUUUGUUAAGUUGGAUGUGAAAGCCCCGGGCUCAACCUGGGAACUGCAUCCAAAACUGGCAAGCUAGAGUACGGUAGAGGGUGGUGGAAUUUCCUGUGUAGCGGUGAAAUGCGUAGAUAUAGGAAGGAACACCAGUGGCGAAGGCGACCACCUGGACUGAUACUGACACUGAGGUGCGAAAGCGUGGGGAGCAAACA
rnacentral:rRNA from 2 species